CCUGAGCCGUCAGUGGAGGAUUGGCGUGACGCUAGCGGAUGCAGCAUCAACUUCCCCGUUCCCUGCGUUCAGACGGCGAUCUGCAGCAUCAGCGGAGAGGAAUAUGUGCUCGGUCUGACGGACAGGUCGCACCUGUACGCUGCAGACACAGAGCUGGCCUCCAAUAUUUCCUCCUUCGCUGUUUGCAACGACUUCCUCCUCAUCACCACACACUCACACACCUGCCGCUGCCUCCAGCUGAGCACGCUCAGUGU